UACGGGGGGGGCAAGCGUUGUUCGGAAUUACUGGGCGUAAAGGGCUCGUAGGCGGCCAACUAAGUCAGACGUGAAAUCCCUCGGCUUAACCGGGGAACUGCAUCUGAUACUGGAUGGCUUGAGUUCGGGAGAGGGAUGCGGAAUUCCAGGUGUAGCGGUGAAAUGCGUAGAUAUCUGGAGGAACACCGGUGGCGAAGGCGACUUUCUGGCCUGUUCUUGACGCUGAGGCGCGAAAGCUAGGGUAGCAAACGGG
rnacentral:rRNA from 1 species